GUGUUCACUUUGGCAGCACAUAUACUAAAAUUGGAACAAUAAAGAGAAGACCAACAUGGGCCCUGGGACAAGGCUGGCAUGCACAUUCAUGAUGAAGUACUCCAUUUCU
ensembl:snRNA U6 U6 spliceosomal RNA